rnacentral:rRNA from 1 species
AUUGAACGCUGGCGGCAUGCCUUACACAUGCAAGUCGAGCGGCUGCAUGACGUAUGUUCCUGGGUUCAUCGGCGGACGCGUACGUGAUGCUUAUGCAUCUGCCUGUUCGUGGUGGUUAGGGAUAGCGUAGCGGCACUUAUGCCAAUUCCGCCUUGUCUCUGAGGAUGAAGGCUGUUGACCUUUCGCCCUUUCGCUUGAGCCUAGGUCGGAUUAGCUAGUUGGUGUGGUAAAGGUAUACCAAGGCCACGAUCCGUAGCGGGUCUGAGAGGAUGAUCAGUCACACUGGAACUGAGACACGGUCCAGACUCCUACGGGAGGCAGCAGUGGGGAAUAUUGGACAAUGGGCGAAAGCCUGAUCCAGCCAUGCCGCGUGAGUGAAGAAGGUCUUCGGAUUGUAAAGCACUUUAAGUUGGGAAGAAAGGGAAUAAGCUAAUACAGGGCGGGGAUGACGGUACCAGCAGAAGAAGCACCGGCUAACUACGUG